rnacentral:lncRNA from 1 species
UUGACCAAUUAUUAAUUUUACCAAAAAUAUCCUCUCUUGUACUUAUUAAUAUUGGUGUGUCUCUUUUAUUAAUAAUUAAUAUCUUCAGAGUUUACUGCUUACUCUAUUGGUCCCAAUUGACAACAUUUAGAGCAUAAAAGAGCUCCAAUUGUUACAACUAACGAAAGAUAGAGUACACAAGAACUCAAUUGAUCUCAACUGACAACUAAUUGAGUAUCUAAGGGAAUAUGAGAUAUUACAUAAGAAGAAACGAAAAAUCAAAGGUGAUAAGCGAAGAGUGAUACACAAAAAAAUAUAAAAAAAAAUAUUUUAAAUUAUUAAAAAGAUGCAUUUAAACGUCUUUUAUUUUUGAAUUCAAAUUUUCAUUUUAGACAGUGUUUUAAAAACCAGAACUAAUCAGCCGGUUCAACCAGUUGGACCAGGAACCGGAGAUAAAUCUGGUUUGGUCAACCUUUCAAAAUCGUUAAUGGGUCAAAAUCGGAGUAAAACAAAAAAAACGGAUUGAACCUUC